rnacentral:rRNA from 1 species
AACGAACGCUGGCGGCAUGCCUAACACAUGCAAGUCGAACGAGACCUUCGGGUCUAGUGGCGCACGGGUGCGUAACACGUGGGAAUCUGCCCUUUGCUUCGGAAUAACAGUUAGAAAUGACUGCUAAUACCGGAUGAUGUCGAAGGACCAAAGAUUUAUCGGCAAAGGAUGAGCCCGCGUAGGAUUAGGUAGUUGGUGGGGUAAAGGCCUACCAAGCCGACGAUCCUUAGCUGGUCUGAGAGGAUGAUCAGCCACACUGGGACUGAGACACGGCCCAGACUCCUACGGGAGGCAGCAGUGGGGAAUAUUGGACAAUGGGCGAAAGCCUGAUCCAGCAAUGCCGCGUGAGUGAUGAAGGCCUUAGGGUUGUAAAGCUCUUUUACCAGGGAUGAUAAUGACAGUACCUGGAGAAUAAGCUCCGGCUAACUCCGUG